rnacentral:rRNA from 1 species
AGUGAACGCUGGCGGUAGGCCUAACACAUGCAAGUCGAACGGCAGCACAGUAAGAGCUUGCUCUUACGGGUGGCGAGUGGCGGACGGGUGAGUAAUACAUCGGAAUCUACUUUUUCGUGGGGGAUAACGUAGGGAAACUUACGCUAAUACCGCAUACGACCUACGGGUGAAAGCAGGGGAUCUUCGGACCUUGCGCGAUUGAAUGAGCCGAUGUCGGAUUAGCUAGUUGGCGGGGUAAAGGCCCACCAAGGCGACGAUCCGUAGCUGGUCUGAGAGGAUGAUCAGCCACACUGGAACUGAGACACGGUCCAGACUCCUACGGGAGGCAGCAGUGGGGAAUAUUGGACAAAGGGCGCAAGCCUGAUCCAGCCAUACCGCGUGGGUGAAGAAGGCCUUCGGGUUGUAAAGCCCUUUUGUUGGGAAAGAAAAGCAGCAGGUUAAUACCCCGCUGUUCUGACGGUACCCAAAGAAUAAGCACCGGCUAACUUCGUG